GAUGAACGCUAGCGGAAGGCUUAAUACAUGCAAGUCGAGCGGUAGAUGGCUUCGGCCAUUGAGAGCGGCGCACGGGUGAGUAACGCGUACAUGACCUGCCUGUCAGAAGGGGAUAGCCCUGGGAAACUGGGAUUAAUACCCUAUGGUAUUGAUAUUAUGAAUGAUAUCAAUUAAAGUUGAGGCGCUGACAGAUGGAUGUGCGUCUGAUUAGCUAGUUGGUAGGGUAACGGCCUACCAAGGCGACGAUCAGUAGGGGGCGUGAGAGCGUGGUCCCCCACACGGGUACUGAGACACGGACCCGACUCCUACGGGAGGCAGCAGUAAGGAAUAUUGGUCAAUGCCCGCAAGGGUGAACCAGCCAUUCCGCGUGGAGGAUGAAGGCCCUAUGGGUUGUAAACUUCUUUUAGAUGGGAAGAAAAUGCUAGAUGUAUCUGGUACUGACGGUACCAUCAGAAUAAGCAACCGGCUAACUCCGUGCCAGCAGCCGCGGUAAU
rnacentral:rRNA from 1 species